AUGCAAGUCGAACGCGUUGGCCCAAUUGAUUGAUGGUGCUUGCACCUGAUUGAUUUUGGUCGCCAACGAGUGGCGGACGGGUGAGUAACACGUAGGUAACCUGCCCAGAAGCGGGGGACAACAUUUGGAAACAGAUGCUAAUACCGCAUAACAGCGUUGUUCGCAUGAACAACGCUUAAAAGAUGGCUUCUCGCUAUCACUUCUGGAUGGACCUGCGGUGCAUUAGCUUGUUGGUGGGGUAACGGCCUACCAAGGCGAUGAUGCAUAGCCGAGUUGAGAGACUGAUCGGCCACAAUGGGACUGAGACACGGCCCAUACUCCUACGGGAGGCAGCAGUAGGGAAUCUUCCACAAUGGGCGCAAGCCUGAUGGAGCAACACCGCGUGAGUGAAGAAGGGUUUCGGCUCGUAAAGCUCUGUUGUUAAAGAAGAACACGUAUGAGAGUAACUGUUCAUACGUUGACGGUAUUUAACCAGAAAGUCACGGCUAACUACGUGCCAGCAGCCGCGGUAAUACGUAGGUGGCAAGCGUUAUCCGGAUUUAUUGGGCGUAAAGAGAGUGCAGGCGGUUUUCUAAGUCUGAUGUGAAAGCCUUCGGCUUAACCGGAGAAGUGCAUCGGAAACUGGAUAACUUGAGUGCAGAAGAGGGUAGUGGAACUCCAUGUGUAGCGGUGGAAUGCGUAGAUAUAUGGAAGAACACCAGUGGCGAAGGCGGCUACCUGGUCUGCAACUGACGCUGAGACUCGAAAGCAUGGGUAGCGAACAGGAUUAGAUACCCUGGUAGUCCAUGCCGUAAACGAUGAGUGCUAGGUGUUGGAGGGUUUCCGCCCUUCAGUGCCGGAGCUAACGCAUUAAGCACUCCGCCUGGGGAGUACGACCGCAAGGUUGAAACUCAAAGGAAUUGACGGGGGCCCGCACAAGCGGUGGAGCAUGUGGUUUAAUUCGAAGCUACGCGAAGAACCUUACCAGGUCUUGACAUCUUGCGCCAACCCUAGAGAUAGGGCGUUUCCUUCGGGAACGCAAUGACAGGUGGUGCAUGGUCGUCGUCAGCUCGUGUCGUGAGAUGUUGGGUUAAGUCCCGCAACGAGCGCAACCCUUGUUACUAGUUGCCAGCAUUAAGUUGGGCACUCUAGUGAGACUGCCGGUGACAAACCGGAGGAAGGUGGGGACGACGUCAGAUCAUCAUGCCCCUUAUGACCUGGGCUACACACGUGCUACAAUGGACGGUACAACGAGUCGCGAACUCGCGAGGGCAAGCAAAUCUCUUAAAACCGUUCUCAGUUCGGACUGCAGGCUGCAACUCGCCUGCACGAAGUCGGAAUCGCUAGUAAUCGCGGAUCAGCAUGCCGCGGUGAAUACGUUCCCGGGCCUUGUACACACCGCCCGUCACACCAUGAGAGUUUGUAACACCCAAAGUCGGUGGGGUAACCUUUUAGGAGCCAGCCGCCUAAAGU
rnacentral:rRNA from 1 species